GCGUCGCCCUCCUCGUCCGCCGCUCCUCCGCCACGCUCUAGGCAAUGGAGGCGCCCCCGCCUCCCUCCUGAUUUCAGUGAUGGUGUUGCUCGCAGUUGUCCUGCCCUGCCGGCACCCUCCUAUCCUCCAAGGGCGUCCACAGCGAAGUGCAAGCGCUGAUUGGGAUUGAGAGCCUGCUCAUGGACACCCAGAGCUUGGACCUAUGAUUGUUCGGUUUCUGUAGGUGCCAUACUACCUUGGUGAGAUGACUGAACAAGUAGAGCAGGAGGACCAAAUGCCAGUUCAGCUGCAAAGAGGUGCUAUUAUAGAGCUGUUGUGCAGAGAGGUGGUGCUGACGGGACAAGCCCUUCAAGAAUGAUAGCGGAAAUUUAGAAUUUUUGCUAUUCUUUUUAUUGACUUGUCCAAGCUGUAAUGACAGCAAAAAUUCAUGAAGUGUGCAUUGACAUGAAGCCACCCAGGUUGUUUAUGAUAUAAGGCUGUGAAGAUUUGGCUAAUGGAGAUAAAAGAGCAACAGGAUGCUCUGCCAAAGCAUGCUAAUCAUGCCCUCCUUGGAUCUGACUUCAAGAAGGUCGAAUUGUCGAAGCGCUUGACAGGUUGACUAAAAACAAGAUCUGGAAGCACCAUUUUUCUUGUGGCGCGACGGGUUCAGGCGGCUCAACAACAUUUGGAACAGGCGGAACUGCCAGCGAGCUGAGAUAGAGCUGAGACGAGAAGGCGACGUUGCCAAGGAGAUGAGACAGUGCUGCUGGCGAGAAGACGAUGUUGUCGGCGAGCUGUGCUGGAGCGGCCAGCGAGAAGCCUGGAGAUGCCCUGAGCGUGGAGGUGCUAGCUAUGGUCCUGGGCGUUCCCGGCGGUAUGGUGCUCUGCUCGGUGGGUGCUGAGCAUGCGUGGACGCCGACGAGCUACUUGCUGGCGGCCGGCAUGGCGCUUCUGCUGGGAGCCUACGGUCGGCCUCCAUGAGGUUUUCCGAUGGAUUCCGGCGGCGGCGGCGCG